UCAAUUCUAUAGUUUAGGUAACACCAGUGAUUUAAGUAAGAAGGUAAUGUCAUCUAAAACAAUAAUCUGUUUCCAUUAUGUGGAACUGUGUCGAAAAUUAAAGUAGAUCCAAGUAAAUGUUUUUAGUUCCGAAUAUUGAGCUGAUAAGCCAGCACCAACUUUUUGAAGGACCUAGCAGAUUUGUUAAACAACAGGUUUCAUAUUUUGUCUAGUUGAUGUCACAGGGACAGUCAGUACAGAACAUAUGCCAAUGCAACAGGUCAAAAUGCUAAGAUUAUAAGAAAGGGGUUCUGAGAUUGUUUACUUUAGAAGGGCCUAUUCCUCUUAACGGGACAGUGUAUCAUCUGAAGUAUGAUUCUGUAUACGCAUGGUUUUAUCAAGACUUCCUGCCCAAAGUAAGUAAGCUCGAUUAAGAUUAAGAAUUUUUAGGACUGACUAAGAUUACUAAUGAUUCUGUAUCUCUCCCUUUGAAAGGCUUCUUGAGGCAGGUGCCUUAGUAUAGCAGUUAUUGAGACUGUGUACUGUACAGUAUAAAGUUACCCGGUUCCGGCUGUUAAAGGAUCUCCCAAAUUAAGAAGCAUGAAUCACGAUGUGAGUCAUGUGUCUAAAGAGGGAAUUACCAGUCCCCUGGGGACCUUUGGUUAUGGCGAAGGUGACCACAGAUGGUGUCUAGAUGCAUGGAAGGGAUAAUUCAUCCGAGAACAGUGUGAGCCUCACCCCCUCUAACCGGCUGAAUUAAUGAGUUCAAUAGCGUUCACUAUGGCCCUGUCCUUCCUGAGUCCGAGCCAGCAACCUGUGCACAGCGUCCAGUCGAAGCUAUCAACUGCCUUUCAUCUCAGGAGUGCGGCAUGUGUCCACGUGGAGUGAGCAUGGAGAGAGAUCCCAUCCAAACUUCUCAUGCUGCUGGUGUACUGGUUGGAUUAAGGACAAGAUAUAAUGGACCGUAAAGGAUCAUGGUGGCUCAGGUGAGAGAAAUCGGGACAUUAUCAAGGGCCAUCCACUUUGAACAUGAGCAUUGGACAAACUGAAACACUAUCUGAAGAAGAAAUGCCAGAAUGAGUGCCGGGAAGGAGGGGGUGGUCAACCGUGCCCGUAAUUGAUUUAGGCUUGUGCAAAAUUGUUUAUUUGGGGUAUCAGGUUGAUCUGUCAUUAACAUGCCACUCAUGACAAAAGCUCCAGCUGAAAUGUCAUUGCCAGAAUCCAUUAAUGAAAUUGUGUAAUGAAGCAUAUGUGUAGCUGUAUGAAGCGAACGUCUUAAGUUAAAACAUUCUACUGCAAUGGUUUUACAAGUAAGGGCUAUGGAAAGAGGAUCAGUUUCUCGUUGGAUUGUACAACCCAGAAUGAAGGGUUUGAAAGUCUUUGGUUUCAUGCAUUGAUUUUGUUUACUUAUGAUAGAACCUCCUUUGAUUGUUUAAGCAAUAAUCAAAUUAAUACAAUUUAACCUUUUCACACAUACGUGAUCAUUCUACAGUGGUCCCUGUAGUGUACGAUCAAACCGGUGUGAURAGAA